GACUGGCACUUGGAGAAGUGGCAAGUCUUCCAGUAUGGGGAGCAAAACAGCUAUGGGUCAAGUCCGAUAUCUUUAGGAGAAGUCUUAUUGUGAGGGCGAGUUAUAUAACACCAUAGGACUGGCCGUCCCAUAUGAAAAGAUUAUAUUAGAAUUGAAUGAAGCUUUGUUUAUAUAUUGAUAAUGACAGUAUAUAUAUCGUGUCUUGACUAAUUGCGUGCCAGCAGUCGCGGUAAUACGUAAGAGACUAGUGUUAUUCAUCUUAAUUAGGUUUAAAGGGUACCCAGACGGUCAAUAUAGCUUAUAAAAUGUUAGUACUUGACUAGAGUUUUAUGUAAGAGGGCAGUACUUGAGGAGGAGAGAUGAAAUUUCGUGAUACCAAAGGGACUCUGUAAAGGCGAAGGCAGCCCUCUAUGUAAAAACUGACGUUGAAGGACGAAGGCACAGAGAACAAACAGGAUUAGAUACCCAAGUAGUCUUUGCAGUACAUGAUGAAUGCCAUAGGUUAGAUUGGUCAAUUAUAGUCUAGGGUUAGUCUAGCAAACUAAUACCCUAUGCUAUAAUCCUAAUAUCUGGUCUAUAAAUGAAAGUGUAAGCAUUUCACCUCAAGAGUAAUGUGGCAACGCAGGAACUGAAAUCACUAGACCGUUUCUGACACCAGUAGUGAAGUAUGUUAUUUUAAUUCGAUAAUCCGCAA
rnacentral:rRNA from 1 species